rnacentral:rRNA from 1 species
AGAGUUUGAUUAUGGCUCAGGAUGAACGCUAGCUACAGGCUUAACACAUGCAAGUCGAGGGGCAGCAUAUCGAAAGCUUGCUUUGAUGAUGGCGACCGGCGCACGGGUGAGUAACGCGUAUCCAACCUUCCCUAUACUAGAGGAUAGCCCGGCGAAAGUCGGAUUAAUACUCUAUGUUCUUCGUAGAAGACAUCUGAAAUGAAGCAAAGGUUUACCGGUAUAGGAUGGGGAUGCGUCUGAUUAGGUUGUUGGCGGGUAACGGCCCACCAAGCCCACGAUCAGUAGGGGUUCUGAGAGGAAGGUCCUCCACAUUGGAACUGAGACACGGUCCAAACUCCUACGGGAGGCAGCAGUGAGGAAUAUUGGUCAAUGGACGAGAGUCUGAACCAGCCAAGUAGCGUGCCAGGAUGACGGCCCUAUGGGUUGUAAACUGCUUUUAUACAGGGAUAAAGUUCACUACGUGUAGUGUUUUGUAGGUACUGUAUGAAUAAGGACCGGCUAAUUCCGUGCCAGCAGCAGC